UAUAUAUAUAUAUAUAUAUAUCAUAAUUUGCAACAUCAGUAUGAAACACUGCUCGUGCUCGACAUAGAUGCGGUUGGUAGUUCAAUGGCCUAAAAGCAUAGAUGUUACAUUUGUACUCCUAGUUAGGUAAAUAUCUCAUUACACAAUGUCCUUUUAAGAUAAAAGUGGUACCUAUGAUCUCUUCAAACUUUAUAUGUUUUCUUUUCUUUUUUUUCAUGGGGCAUGAAUUAGGAGUUGUAAAUGACAAUUCUCAUUUGGGAAUUCGAAUUGAUGAUCUACUGUAAUAGGAAAUGUCCAAAUCUGCCUACCAUUUUCCUUUUCGGUUUUUCAAAAUUUCUUCGGAAAAAAUGUAAGAAAGCGAGAAGGGUAACUAGUUAAGGCUACUUGAUUCAGUGUUGAUAUUUGAGACAAUGGAUGGGAAUGCUCUAUUUUCUAAAAUGGAUGGUGGUUUUUCACUUUCGCCUGCCUCUUUCUUUGAAUUUCACCUUCUAAUCUUCAAUAACAUUCUCAAUUAAAAACAAACAAAAAGAAAAGAAAAGAAAUUGUUGAUUCAAUGUUGGUCUCAGGAUUAUCAUUUCAUUCAAAAAACGAUUGCAGUAAACAAUUUUAAAGGAUUACAGAAAUGUAAAUAACACAAGAAUUUUCGCUCCUAAGGGCUCGGAUGUUCAGCCAAAAGGCCUACUCACCCGUUGAGCAUCUACAAAAGUAGAUUAGGCUCGAAUCCACUAAAAAUCACAAAGAAUCGAUACAAAAAUGUAUGAAGAAACCACAGUUCCUUCAAUUUCAGUUUUCUUUCGUCUCUAUUUUAUAAAACACUCAGUUUUCUACAAUCUCACAGAUCGUAUAUCAAAUACAACCCUAACAUCACUCAGAUUAGAGAUUAUUUUCAGAAAAAUGCAAGAACGGAAGAGUCCAGAAAACCCUCAGAGAGAAGACGAAGAAAACCCCAGAACCUUUCACUCAGAUUACGACAAAAAUGAAGAGUCAAGAGACUUUAACACUCCACCAAAAUAUCAACAAUUCAACGAUUACAAAAGUGCCAAGUGUAAAGUCCACAACAGUCAUCCUUUAUUAAGGAAAGACGUGUUUCCAAAAAACGUUUUUCAUUUCCAAACCAUUUCAACCCGUUGGAUUAACCAACCCAGCAGGGCCCAAUACCACUAAAUUGGGCCGGCCAAGAAUAGAGAGUCAGCCCGCCAACAUUCAAUGUUAAGAUGCAAUGAUAUACCGAAAUAUCUGAGAAAGACUUGUUUGUUUGGAUUUAUUAGAACUGUUGGUGCCCUUACUUGACCAGCUGACCAAGGGAGACCUACUUUCGGUAGAAACCUGAUUAUGGGGAGUCCCAAUUGGAAAGAAAAGUGGGUCACAGCGGACGUUGGUCUUGAAGAUGGGUGAAAUGUAAUGAUCUAAUUGUAUUUCAAAUCGCCUGUAAAAUAUGGUAAAUUUAUAAGCACUUUGGACAUCAUUUUCUUGUAAACCACUUUUAGAAAUGAGUUAUACUUAAAAAUGAUUGUUACAAAAAUAAAAAUUCUAAAUUAUUCCAAACUUAUCUUUUUAUAUUGUUUACUUUGUUUUGGAGCUCACCAGGAAACAAAGACAUACCCUUCUCACCAAGUAUCAAAAGAAAGCUAACCAUGUAUGUUCAAUCUGAAAGAUCACGGCAUAACCAAAGAUGUACAACAAGUUUUUGCAUAAAACUGGUUCUCUUGCAUCAGUUGUUCUAAUUUUCUGAAGUGUUAUGUACUUAAAAAAAAAAUAAUAAUAAUAAUAAUUUGAAGGUAAACGCUGAAGAUGUUACAACAAGAGUAAACAGUAUUUUGAAAGAUCUGCGAGAGGCAAGAAAUGAAGUUUCAGCUGCACGCGCAAAAGCAGCCAUUUACAAAGCAUCAACCAUCGUUAGCAAUGCAGUUACUGUAGGAUCUUCAACAAAGAUCAGGUAAAUAUGUUCUUCCAUGAUAAUAUAUCAAUUCAUUCUUUAGAUGGAUUUCUUGAUUUAAAGUAUGACCCCAACUUAUUUCAAUUUUCACACUGACAAUAAGUUUCUUAAGCGAUUACUUGAAUUUUUAUGUAUAUUUGCAUAAGACGAUCACCUCACAAGUCACAACACUUUUGGUUAGAAUAAGUGUCUUCCCAUAUCAUUUAUGCCUAAAAGACAUUCAUACAAACAUAAAUUCUGGGCAGUUUCACUAGUUUAUCAUAGCAUCCAACCUCUUUCCGAAGUUAUGGCUCGCCUCACCCCUUCCAUCUCAGUACAGUCCUCAUCUCAAGUCAGUCCAACAUCGUUACUAAAGAGAGAAGCAUAACAAGCCUGGUCCAUCACUUCUGACAACUAUUUUUGUCCAGGGUGCUAGUUGAGAGCAUGGAUGAUAUUGAUGCUGAUGCAUUAAAGAGUGCUGCAGAGUAUAUAGUGGAUACACUGCAAGAUCCAGCAGCGGUGAUUUUGGGCUCAUGCCCAGGUGAAAAAAGAGUAAGUUUAGUUGCUGCUUUUACUCCAGGAGUGGUUGAUCUUGGAAUUCAAGCGGGGAAGUUUAUAGGGCCAUUAGCCAAGUUUUGUGGUGGAAGAGGGGGUGGUCGGCCUAAUUUUGCCCAGGCAGGUGGAAAUGAGCCUGAGAAAUUGUUGAUUGCACUUGAAAAAGCUCGAGAUGAACUCAUCUCCAUUCUAUCUGAAAAGACAGGCUGAAAAUUUUUAUAUAUAUAUAUAUCAUAAUUUGCAACAUCAGUAUGAAACACUGCUCGUGCUCGACAUAGAUGCGGUUGGUAGUUCAAUGGCCUAAAAGCAUAGAUGUUACAUUUGUACUCCUAGUUAGGUAAAUAUCUCAUUACACAAUGUCCUUUUAAGAUAAAAGUGGUACCUAUGAUCUCUUCAAACUUUAUAUGUUUUCUUUUCUUUUUUUUCAUGGGGGCAUGAAUUAGGAGUUGUAAAUGACAAUUCUCAUUUGGGAAUUCGAAUUGAUGAUCUACUGUAAUAGGAAAUGUCCAAAUCUGCCUACCAUUUUCCUUUUCGGUUUUUCAAAAUUUCUUCGGAAAAAAUGUAAGAAAGCGAGAAGGGUAACUGGUUAAGGCUACUUGAUUCAGUGUAUUGAUAUUUGAGACAAUGGAUGGGAAUGCUCUAUUUUCUAAAAA
rnacentral:lncRNA from 1 species